ACAUGUUGAAUAGUUGACAAAUACAUGUUGAAAAGCUUCUAAUAAGCUUAUUCAGAUAUUAGUAAUGACAUUGUAAAAAAAAUAGUGACAUUGGUAGAUUUAGUGAAAUGGGCAGAUUAUUUGUUGUAAGAAGGAUGUUGGCCAUUAACCUCAAUCCCUAUAUCACUUGUCUAUAAGAAGAAAAUGUUAAAUUAUGUGAAUGCAAUGUGUUUGUCUUCCUUUCAUAGAUAUGUCAUAUAUCUUGAUGAAUGCAAACCAUGUAUAUAAAAGGGAUAUUGAAGGAAACAGUGUACCUCUCUCUCUGUUUAUCUCUGUCCAUCUAUGUAUCUAUCUUUAUCUAUCAUAUCUAUCCAUCCAUCCAUCCUUCCAUCUAUUUAUCUUUCUACCUAUCUUUCUAUCUAUGUAUCUCAAUCUUUUUCUGACACUCUCUCUCCCAUAACAAUGAGAAGACAUAUAGUGGGUGACUGUUAUACUAGACUGUUUCAACACAAUAAAUGUUUACAAUC
rnacentral:lncRNA from 1 species